rnacentral:rRNA from 1 species
UACGAAGGGGGCUAGCGUUGCUCGGAAUUACUGGGCGUAAAGCGCACGUAGGCGGCUCUUUAAGUCGGGGGUGAAAUCCUGGAGCUCAACUCCAGAACUGCCUUCGAUACUGAAGAGCUUGAGUCCGGGAGAGGUGAGUGGAACUGCGAGUGUAGAGGUGAAAUUCGUAGAUAUUCGCAAGAACACCAGUGGCGAAGGCGGCUCACUGGCCCGGUACUGACGCUGAGGAGCGAAAGCGUGGGGAGCGAACAGG